CAGGCCUAACACAUGCAAGUCGAGCGGCAGCGACAACAUUGACCCUUCGGGUGAUUUGUUGGGCGGCGAGCGGCGGACGGGUGAGUAAUGCCUGGGAACAUGCCUUAGUGUGGGGGAUAACCAUUGGAAACGAUGGCUAAUACCGCAUAAUCUCUACGGAGCAAAGCGGGGGACCUUCGGGCCUCGCGCGCUAAGAUUGGCCCAGGUGGGAUUAGCUAGUAGGUGGGGUAACGGCUCACCUAGGCGACGAUCCCUAGCUGGUCUGAGAGGAUGAUCAGCCACACUGGAACUGAGACACGGUCCAGACUCCUACGGGAGGCAGCAGUGGGGAAUAUUGCACAAUGGGGGAAACCCUGAUGCAGCCAUGCCGCGUGUGUGAAGAAGGCCUUCGGGUUGUAAAGCACUUUCAGCAGUGAGGAAGAGGUGGUAUUUAAUAGAUGCCAUCUUUGGCGUUAGCUGCAGAAGAAGCACCGGCUAACUCCGUGCCAGCAGCCGCGGUAAUACGGAGGGUGCGAGCGUUAAUCGGAAUUACUGGGCGUAAAGCGCAUGCAGGCGGCGUGUUAAGCCAGAUGUGAAAGCCCGGGGCUCAACCUCGGAAUCGCAUUUGGAACUGGCAUGCUAGAGUCUUGUAGAGGGGGGUAGAAUUCACGUGUAGCGGUGAAU
rnacentral:rRNA from 1 species